UCGGGUUGAAAACCAUUUUUUCCGGAAGAAAACCUCCCUUCUUAAUACGUGGGGGGAGACGGUACCGGAAGAAUAAGCACCGGCAACUACGUGCCAGCAGCCGCGGUAAUACGUAGGGUGCAAGCGUUAAUCGGAAUUACUGGGCGUAAAGCGUGCGCAGGCGGUUCGCUAAGACCGAUGUGAAAUCCCGGGCUUAACCUGGGAACUGCAUUGGUGACUGGCGGGCUAGAGUAUGGCAGAGGGGGGUAGAAUUCCACGUGUAGCAGUGAAAUGCGUAGAGAUGUGGAGGAAUACCGAUGGCGAAGGCAGCCCCCUGGGCCAAUACUGACGCUCAUGCACGAAAGCGUGGGGAGCAAACAGGAUUAGAUACCCUGGUAGUCCACGCCCUAAACGAUGUCAACUAGUUGUCGGGUCUUCAUUGACUUGGUAACGAAGCUAACGCGUGAAGUUGACCGCCUGGGGAGUACGGUCGCAAGAUUAAAACUCAAAGGAAUUGACGGGGACCCGCACAAGCGGUGGAUGAUGUGGAUUAAUUCGAUGCAACGCGAAAAACCUUACCUACCCUUGACAUGUACGGAACCCUGCCG
rnacentral:rRNA from 1 species